UCCCUGGUGGCCUAGUGGUUAAGGAUCCCGCAUUGUCACUGCUGUGGCUUGGGUUUGAUCCCUGGCCUGGGAG
rfam:Sus scrofa chromosome 3.